rnacentral:SRP_RNA from 1 species
AUGCCCCUGGGUCUGCAACUCGAAGAGGUGGAGAUUGAAGGGAUCGGCAGGGUGAUCCAGGUGACAGAUAUCGUGGAGGGCAGCUCCGCCUUCAAUGAUGGCAGCAUCCGUAAGGGUGACUUCCUUCGUGCCGUGACGACCCCGCAGCGGAAGCUUAGC